GUUGUAGUCUGGAGAAGUGCUUUCCGCGCUGGACCGUGUAUAAGUCUCUUGGAACAGAGCGUCAUAGAGGGUGAGAAUCCCGUCUUUGACACGGACUACCAGUGCUUUGUGAUGCGCUCUCAAAGAGUCGAGUUGUUUGGGAAUGCAGCUCAAAAUGGGUGGUGAAUUCCAUCUAAAGCUAAAUAUUGGCGAGAGACCGAUAGCGAACAAGUACCGUGAGGGAAAGAUGAAAAGCACUUUGGAAAGAGAGUUAAACAGUACGUGAAAUUGCUGAAAGGGAAACGCUUGAAGUCAGUCGCGUCUGCCGGAACUCAGCCUUCCUUUCGGUUGGUGCAUUUUCUGGUAGACGGGCCAGCAUCGAUUUUGACCGUCGGAAAAGGGCUGGGGAAAUGUGGCACCUUUUGGUGUGUUAUAGUCUUCAGUCGCAUACGGCGGUCGGGAUCGAGGAACGCAGCGCGCCGCAAGGCAGGGGUUCGCCCACUUUCGCGCUUAGGAUGCUGGCAUAAUGGCUUUAAACGACCCGUCUUGAAACACGGACCAAGGAGUCUAACAAACCUGCGAGUGUUUGGGUGGAAAACCCGAGCGCGUAAUGAAAGUGAAAGUUGAGACCUCUGUCGUGGAGGGCAUCGACGCCCGGACCUGACGUUCUCUGACGGAUCCGCGGUAGAGCAUGUUUGUUGGGACCCGAAAGAUGGUGAACUAUGCCUGAAUAGGGUGAAGCCAGAGGAAACUCUGGUG
rnacentral:rRNA from 1 species